UGUCAACGGCGAUCGCGGAACUUCGCCCGGUCCGGCCGGUCCUCCCGACGUUUUCUCCCCUGCCGUCGACUCCUGCACCCCGUCAUCCCGUCAUCUCUCGGCGAAGUCAACGUGUCGUGCGACACGCGCCGCGUAUGUGCACCACAGGGGCUCUCAAUCGUCCCGUGCCACUCGGAGCAGGGAGCCUCCGCGGACGAUUGGGGUCCGAUGUUGGUUAUAUUAGAGACGCAUUGGCCGACGUUGUUCAACGUGAAGCCAGUAUUGGCCGUGGAAUAAAUGACGAUUGGAUGAGCGAUUGAGAGAAAAUUGGAAUCUUUAAAAGCGUGAUAUCGCGCCGACUAAAUUCUGCGCCUUGCCGAGGAGAACGGAGCAGGUCUGCACUUUGUAUAGCUGCGCCACGCUAUAUUUUCUGCACUUGACCCAGUGAGGAGUGGCUAGAAAGAGAGGGAGGAAAAGGAGCGAAAAGUGAAGAGGUUCAGAAGCCGCGAGGAGAAGAGACGAAUCAAGCUGAGGUUGCAAGUUGGUAUAUCGAAAGCUAUGAGUAAAGCGUAGACGUUGGAGCGCGUGACGCAUAAAGUGAAACAGCUCGCUUCAGUUUGGCACACGCGCCUGAUAACUUCGAAUGGAUUCGCGGGAUAUCGGGUUCCACCUUUCGCCCAACUUUUUAUCCGGCUGUCGUGGGAAGAGAAACGGAUUCACGCAAAUACAGAUAUUUCGUGAAAUUGCACAACUCUAUCGCAGCGCGCGCGUACGCUGAAAAGUAUGUUUGCCACAGAUGAUUCGUGAUUAUAUGUCGGUGCUCCAAGGGAUGAACCUAGAGAUCAAAAUGACAACACGCAUGUCGUGUGCUCAAGUUUUCUCUUCCAAAAUGUGAUUUAGAAAAAUGUUUAAACUGUCCGUUGUAAGGGCUUGAACAGACAGAUUGUCGUAGCCGUUUACGAGUCAUCGCAAGGCGACGUGCGUCUACGACAAUUCUUUGUGCGUUGACUUCCGACGCCGACUUGAGUCUUACGACAGAAUCGUAAACGGUCACGACAAUCUUUCGGCUCAGGCCCUAACGCAUAUCCUUUGGAAGCCCUCACAAUUGUGAUAUCAAUAAACGUCGAGCCUCAUUGAGACACGGUUAAUAUAAACACUGGCGUAUAACGAAGAAUCGGUCUGUGUACACGCAUGAGGACUAAUUGUUGAUUAUGUCAUUUAGAUUCAUAAAACGUUCGAAUCUAG